rnacentral:rRNA from 1 species
AGUGAACGCUGGCGGCAUGCCUAACACAUGCAAGUCGAACGAGCUUUGGCAGUUUAUCGUCAGAGUUAGUGGCAAACGGGUGAGUAAUACGUGGACAAUCUUCCCUCGAGCGGGGGAGUAACUCCGGAAACCGGAGCUAAUACCGCGUGAGACCACGUCCUGGCAUCAGGAUGAGGUUAAAGCUCCGCAAGGGGCGGCUUGAGGAGGGGUUCGACGGCCUAUCAGCUAGUUGGCGGGGUUAAAGGCCCACCAAGGCGACGACGGGUAACCGGUCUGAAAGGACGACCGGUCACAAUGGCACUGAGACACGGGCCAUACUCCUACGGGAGGCAGCAGUGGGGAAUUUUGCGCAAUGGGGGAAACCCUGACGCAGCGAUGCCGCGUGGAGGACGAAGGUCUUCGGAUUGUAAACUCCUUUUGUGGGGGAAGAGCGAGGACGGUACCCCAAGAAUAAGUCACGGCUAACUACGUG